AUACGGAGGAUUCGAGCGUUAUCCGGAUUUAUUGGGUUUAAAGGGAGCGUAGGCGGACUAUUAAGUCAGCUGUGAAAGUUUGCGGCUCAACCGUAAAAUUGCAGUUGAUACUGGUCGUCUUGAGUGCAGUAGAGGUAGGCGGAAUUCGUGGUGUAGCGGUGAAAUGCUUAGAUAUCACGAAGAACUCCGAUUGCGAAGGCAGCUUAGUGGACUGGAACUGACGCUGAUGCUCGAAAGUGUGGGUAUCAAACAGGAGUAGAUACCCUGGUAGACCACACAGUAAACGAUGAAUACUCGCUGUUUGCGAUAUACAGCAAGCGGCCAAGCGAAAGCAUUAAGUAUUCCACCUGGGGAGUACGCCGGCAACGGUGAAACUCAAAGGAAUUGACGGGG
rnacentral:rRNA from 1 species